CAUAGGACCUGCAUAGAAGCC
rnacentral:miRNA from 1 species